rnacentral:rRNA from 1 species
GUGUCAGCAGCCGCGGUAAUACGGAAGGGGCUAGCGUUGUUCGGAAUCACUGGGCGUAAAGCGCGCGUAGGCGGCUUGGCAAGUGAGGCGUGAAAGUCCUGGGCUCAACCCGGGGACGGCGCUUCAGACUGCGGGGCUAGAGUCCGGAAGAGGGUGGUGGAAUUCCGAGUGUAGAGGUGAAAUUCGUAGAUAUUCGGAGGAACACCGGCGGCGAAGGCGGCCACCUGGUCCGGAACUGACGCUCAAGUGCGAAAGCGUGGGGAGCAAACAGGAUUAGAUACCCUGGUAGUCC